GUGCCAGCCGCCGCGGUAAUACGGAGGGUGCAAGCGUUAAUCGGAAUUACUGGGCGUAAAGCGUGCGCAGGCGGCUGAUUAAGUCAAAUGUGAAAGCCCCGGGCUUAACCUGGGAAUGGCAUUCGAUACUGGUCAGCUAGAGUUUGGUAGAGGUAAGCGGAAUUCCGGGUGUAGCGGUGAAAUGCGUAGAUAUCCGGAGGAACAUCAGUGGCGAAGGCGGCUUACUGGACCAAAACUGACGCUCAGGCACGAAAGCGUGGGUAGCAAACAGGAUUAGAUACCCCGGUAGUCC
rnacentral:rRNA from 1 species